rnacentral:ncRNA from 1 species
UAUUGUAAAUAGCAAACUUGUCGAAAGGCAGGGGCGCAAAGCUACGGGUCUAAUGCUUCCGUUCGGAAGCGAUGAUCGCCGGGUUGCCAUU